rnacentral:misc_RNA from 1 species
AAGUCGUAACAAGGUUUCCGUAGGUGAACCUGCGGAAGGAUCAUUAUUGAAUAAACUUGGUUGGGUUGUUGCUGGCCUCUCGGGGCACUGUGCACGCCUGGUCACCAUUUUUAUAACCACCUGUGCACCUUUUGUAGACCUUUCUGAAUGGAGAGGAGCUCUUUCUUGGGGCUCCUUUGCAAACGGGGUGGUCUACGUCUUUACAUACCCCAUACGCAUGUAACAGAAUGUCUUUUAAUGGCCUCUGCGCCACUAAUCAAAUACAACUUUCAACAACGGAUCUCUUGGCUCUC